rnacentral:rRNA from 1 species
GACGAACGCUGGCGGCGUGCCUAAUACAUGCAAGUCGAACGCAGUGGGGACGGUUUAGUAACACGUGGGUAACCUCCCAUCAGAGGGGAUAACACUUGGAAACAGGUGCUAAACCGAUAUUGAUGUAUGUACCCGCGGGGCAUUAGCUAGUCGGUGGGGUAACGGCUCACCAAGUCCACGAUGCAUAGCUGACCUGAGAGGAGGAUCGGCCACACUGGGACUGAGACACGGCCCAGACUCCUACGGGAGGCAGCAGUAGGGAAUCUUCGGCAAUGGACGAAAGUCUGACCGAGCAACGCCGCGUGAGUGAAGAAGGUUUUCGGAUCGUAAAGCACUGUUGGUAGAGAAGCGGUAUCUAACCAGAAAGCAACGGCUAACUACGUGCCAGCAGCCGCGGUAAUUC